rnacentral:rRNA from 1 species
UCGGGCGUUCCCCGUUCGGGGGACAGGGUGACAGGUGGUGCAUGGUUGUCGUCAGCUCGUGUCGUGAGAUGUUGGGUUAAGUCCCGGCAACGAGCGCAACCCUCGACCUUAGUUGCCAGCAUUCAGUUUGGGCACGUCUAAGGUGACUGCGGCUAAAAGUCGGAGGAAGGUGGGGAUGACGUCAAAUCAUCAUGCCCCUUAUGACCUGGGCUACACACGUGCUACAAUGGGCGGUACAAAGGGUCGCGAACCCGCGAGGGGGAGCCAAUCCCAAAAAGCCGCUCUCAGUUCGGAUUGCAGGCUGCAACUCGCCUGCAUGAAGCCGGAAUCGCUAGUAAUCGCGGAUCAGCAUACCGCGGUGAAUACGUUCCCGGGCCUU